CCCUUAGAUGUUCUGGGCUGCACGCGCGCUACACUGACAUACUCAGCAAGUUUCCUUGCCUGAAAGGGUUGGGUAAUCUUGUUAGUGUAUGUCGUGAUGGGGAUAGAAUAUUGUAAUUAUUGCUCUUUAACGAGGAAUUCCUAGUAAGCGCAAGUCAUCAGCCUGCGUUGAUUACGUCCCUGCCCUUUGUACACACCGCCCGUCGCUCCUACCGAUUGGGUGAUCCGGUGAAUGAUUCGGACUCUGGCUAUGCUAGCUACUAGCUACGUCAGGGAAAGUUUUGUGAACCUUAUCACUUGGAGGAAGGAGAAGUCGUAACA
rnacentral:rRNA from 1 species